rnacentral:rRNA from 1 species
GACGUAGGGCGCGAGCGUUGUCCGGAUUUAUUGGGCGUAAAGAGCUCGUAGGUGGUUUGUCGCGUUGUUCGUGAAAACUCACAGCUUAACUGUGGGCGUGCGGGCGAUACGGGCAGACGUGGAGUACUGCAGGGGAGACUGGAAUUCCUGGUGUAGCGGUGGAAUGCGCAGAUAUCAGGAGGAACACCGGUGGCGAAGGCGGGUCUCUGGGCAGUAACUGACGCUGAGGAGCGAAAGCGUGGGGAGCGAACAGG